UGGGAUGUGGCUCAGUGGUACAGUGCUUGCCUAGCAUGCAUGAGGCACUGGGUUCAAUCCUCAGCACCACAU
rnacentral:tRNA from 1 species